rnacentral:rRNA from 1 species
UGGAGACUUGAGUGCAGAAGAAGAAAAGUUGAAUUCCAUGUGUAGCGGUGAAAUGCGUAGAGAUAUGGAGGAACACCAGUGGCGAAGGCGGACUUUCUGGUCUGUUACUGACCAUGAGGCGCGAAAGCGUGGGGAGCAAACAGGAUUAGAUACCCUGGUAGUCCACGCCGUAAACGAUGAGUGCUAAGUUUAGAGGGUUUUCGGCCUUUAGUGCUGAAGGUAACGCAUUAAGCACUCCGCCUGGGGAGUACGGCCGCCAAGCUGAAACUCAAAGGAAAUGACGGGGGCCCGCACAAGCGGUGGAGCAUGUUGUUUAAUUUGAAGCAACGCGAAGAACCCUACCCGGUCUUGACCUCCUUUGACAACCCCAGAGAUAGGGGUUUUCCUUUGGGAGCAGAAUGACCGGUGGUGCAUGGUUGUUGUCAACUCGUGUUGUGAGAUGUUGGGUUAAGUCCCGCAACGAGCGCCACCCCUGAUUUUAGUUGCCCUCCUUUAAUUGGGCCCUUUAAGGGGGCCGCCGGGGGCAAACCGGAGGAAGGGGGGGAAGGCGUCAAAUCAUCCUGCCCCUUAUGACCUGGGGUACCCCCCUGGUUCCAAGGGCGGUACAAAGAGGUGCCAGGCCCCGAGGGGGAGGUAAUUUCAUAAAACCGUUUUCAGUUUGGAUUGUUGGGUGCAACUUGCCUACCUGAAGCCGGAAUCGCUUGUAAUCGCGGAUCAGCCUGCCGCGGGGAAUACGUUCCCGGGCCUUGUACCCCCCCCCCGUCCCCCCCCGAGAGUUUGUAACCCCCGAAGUCGGUGGGGUAACCUUUUGGAGCCAGCCGCCUAAGUGAUCAGAUCUGU